CCUAAGAACUUCAAAAUAACCAACAGGCAACCACGGGAAAGCCAGUGGGCCAACUAGAGAAGGGCACUUGACCCGGGCAGCGAUCCACUGACUCUGACAGCAGCUCCUGUGUUUCAUCCCAAGUGUGACCAAGUCUCUCCCCGGCAUCUUAAAGAGCUCAGUGGCACUGACAGGACUGGGGACCGAAAUUCAACCCCAACAGAGUCAACAGCUAUACAGAGAUCCUGCCAUCUCAGGCCCUGCUCCUGGGCUAAUCCAGUCCUCUGCCCUAGAAUUUGCUUCCGUCGGCCAGACUUGAGCUGAAUCGUGAAGAAAGCCCGCAGAGGCAAUUCUGCACUCUGGGACCACCACCUCCUUCCCAUGUGGAUGUGAAGCUUCUCCA